CGCCAGAUAGCUCAGUUGGUAGACUAAGAGCACCUGACUAGAGAUUCAGGGGGCCCGGGGUUCGAAUCCCGGUCUGGUCU
rnacentral:tRNA from 1 species